GAUAAGGUGGCCGAGUGGUUAAGGUGAUGGACUGCUAAUCCAUUGAGUUCUGUACACACGGGUUCAAAUCCUGUCCUUGUCA